rnacentral:rRNA from 1 species
AUACGUAGGGGGCGAGCGUUGUCCGGAAUGAUUGGGCGUAAAGGGCGCGUAGGCGGCCCGGUAAGUCUGGAGUGAAAGUCCUGUUUUUAAGAUGGGAAUUGCUUUGGAUACUGUCGGGCUUGAGUGCAGGAGAGGUAAGUGGAAUUCCCAGUGUAGCGGUGAAAUGCGUAGAGAUUGGGAGGAACACCAGUGGCGAAGGCGACUUACUGGACUGUAACUGACGCUGAGGCGCGAAAGUGUGGGGAGCAAACAGGAUUAGAUACCCUGGUAGUCCACACUGUAAACGAUGAAUGCUAGGUGUAGGGGGUAUCGACCCCCUCUGUGCCGCAGUCAACACAAUAAGCAUUCCGCCUGGGGAGUACGGCCGCAAGGUUGAAACUCAAAUGAAUUGACGGGG